rnacentral:rRNA from 1 species
CAGCAGCCGCGGUAACACGUAGGGUGCAAGCGUUAAUCGGAAUUACUGGGCGUAAAGCGUGCGCAGGCGGUUUGUUAAGACAGAUGUGAAAUCCCCGGACUCAACCUGGGAACUGCAUUUGUGACUGGCAAGCUAGAGUAUGGCAGAGGGGGGUGGAAUUCCGCGUGUAGCAGUGAAAUGCGUAGAUAUGCGGAGGAACACCGAUGGCGAAGGCAGCCCCCUGGGCCAAUACUGACGCUCAUGCACGAAAGCGUGGGGAGCAAACAGGAUUAGAUACCCCAGUAGUCCCUGUCUCUUAUAC